CACCCUUCACAGUACUUUGUUUGAAGAUGAGGGAUAAACCACCCUUCACAGUUCUUCAUUUUCAGGAUAAGGGGUAGACCGCCCUUAAUAUACUUGGCUAAUCUAAGAAAUAAGAAGAAAAAAGAAGAAAAGGGUUAAUCGGAGCUUACCUUAGGAAUCCAAUUCACGAAAACCCAAUUUCGCAGAAUCAAAAGGCAAUUUUUCAUAUAUAGAUAAAAAAAACCUCAAUCCUUGAAAAUGGUGUUCUUCAAACUGGGAUGGCAAUAGCGAUUGAGACUGAAUAUUAUGAUAGCUUGUGCAAUCGAGGCUAAAUAUUGUGAUAGUGUGUGCAAUCGAAGCUAAAUAUUGUGAUAGUGUGUGCAAUCGGAGCUGAGCAUCAGAGCUGAUGUUGUGCAACAUAAAUUGUGACAUUGUGUAUACGUACCUCACUUCAAAUUGUCCGAAUCGGAGCUGAAUGUUGUUCGACCUAAAUUUUUAUAUUGUUUACCUCACUUCGAGAUGUGCGAUAGUGUGUAUCACAAUUAAUCGAUAGUCCAACACUUCUGGUGGACGAUAAGCAUCGGACCCUUUCCCCUCCCGGCGGUAGUGGUGCCUCUGCUGCUGAAGGCGGUUCCCUUUUGAUCACCUCUUCUUCGUCGGCAGAGGAUCACUUCUUCUUCUUCCUCUCCAUUGUUAAAAUUUAUAGUAUAAAUAUUACUUUUGAUUAUUCAUUAAAGAACAGUAGAAAUGUUGACAAUAAAGAAGAGGGCGCGUAUAAUAGUUUCAAACCCUAGACAAAGUUGUUCAAAAAAUCCACUUUAUUGUGAAAGUGUGUGGUUAUGCCAUUUUUGAGUUGAAUGUUUUUUUAGAGUUGAGGGUUUUCUGAACUGAAAGGAUUAUGUUUAUAGAUUUAAGUUUGUAUGCUUUAUGAUUUUUUUUUGGGUAAUUA
rnacentral:lncRNA from 1 species